AGGACGAACGCUGGCGGCGUGCCUAACACAUGCAAGUCGAACGGACUGAUUCCUUCGGGGAUGAAAGUUAGUGGCGGACGGGUGAGUAACGCGUGAGCAACCUGCCUUUCAGAGGGGAAUAACGUUUGGAAACAGACGCUAAUACCGCAUAACGCAUAGGAGUCGCAUGGCUUUUAUGCCAAAGGAGCAAUCCGCUGAAAGAUGGGCUCGCGUCCGAUUAGAUAGUUGGUGGGGUAACGGCCUACCAAGUCGACGAUCGGUAGCCGGACUGAGAGGUUGAACGGCCACAUUGGGACUGAGACACGGCCCAGACUCCUACGGGAGGCAGCAGUGGGGGAUAUUGCACAAUGGGCGCAAGCCUGAUGCCAGCAACGCCGCGUGAGGGAUGACGGUUUUCGGAUUGUAAACCUCUGUCUUUGGUGACGAAGAAAUGACGGUAGCCGAGGAGGAAGCCACGGCUAACUACGUGCCAGCCGCUGC
rnacentral:rRNA from 1 species